rnacentral:rRNA from 1 species
GACGUAGGUGGCGAACGUUAUCCGGAAUUAUUGGGCGUAAAGGGUGCGUAGAUGGCCUGAUAAGUUAGCAGUGGGAAAUCGAGGCUCAACCUCGUGGAAGCUGGUAAUACUGUCAAGCUCGAGUGCAGGAGAGGUUAACGGAACUCCAUGUGGAGCGGUAAAAUGUGUAGAUAUAUGGAAGAACACCAAUAACGGCGAAGGCAGUUAACUAUUCUGUUACUGACAUUGAGGCACGAAAGCGUGGGGAGCAAAACGG